CUACCUAAUAGUUAAGUGAAGCUUAAAGAAGUUAACUUUCCUGAAACAAUGGGACUGCUAGAGGGUAUUUGUUAGAUAUACCUGAGAACAAAACCCAGUAAAGUGAGGAGUAGACAGAGGGAAAAAGUCUGGGUUCUGGAAGCCUCACCAAACCACUGAACUACCUACUUCCAGAUAAUUUGUCUUGUAGAUAAUAAAUUCCUGCACUUAAAGCUAUAUUUAAUAAGACAUUCUGUUAUUUUCAACUAAAUGCAUCUAAACUGGUAUGUCUCACUCUACCAGUUUUCUUUUUCAUAUAUUGGUUUUUCCUUGGUCCUGUUUGAAGGUACCACAGGCAUUGUCUAUCCAUUGGCUGAUAAAGGAUUUGUAACUCUUCCAUUUCUUUGCCCACUCCCUAGUCAUCUCAUCAAGUUUCAUGGCUUCAAUUACUAUGUAAGGAUUCCCAAAUAUGAAUGUAUAAUACAGAUCUCUCUUCUGAGCUCUAAACUCAUGUAUAAAAUGAUUAUUUUAUCUCCAUAGAUAUAUUAGAGGCAACUGAAUCCAACAUUUUCAAAACUAGUGCUCGUUAUCUCUCCCCACCUCAAUUCUAAAGCAAGUCUUCCAUUCAUGCUUUCUUCCUUGGUGAAUGCAUCACCAUACCCCCGGUGACCAAAGCCAAAACCACAAAUUUGGAUAUUAUCCUUAAAUCCUUCUCUCCUUUUUCCAUCCAUAUCCAAAUCAACCAUGAAGUCUUGUCAACAGAUUCCCAGCACAGACACCACUAGAGCGGGGGCAGAGUGAGCAAAGGAGAAAGACUAGAUGGAGAUUAGGUCAGCGAGGUAAAGUAGUAGGGACAUAUCACAAAGGCCUUCUGGGCCUUUGGCUUUUCUCUUGAUGAAAUGGGAAGCCAUAGGAAGAGUAGUGGGUUUUACACAAAGCAUAAUAUAAUUUGCCUUCUUUUUUGAUAAUAUACUGAAGAUUGGCAAGGACAGAAGCAGGCAGGCAAAUUAAAAGACUGUUAAAAUAAUGCAGGUGAGCAACAAAGGUAGCUCGGGCCAGGGUUGUUGUAGAUGUUAGUAAUAAAUGAUUCCAUUUGGUUAUUUUUUUAAGGAAGAGCCAAUAUGAUUUGUUAACAGAUUUAUGUGAGGUGAAAGAAAAGAAAGGGAGCAAAGAUUACAUCAAGGUUUGGUCCCAAGUAGCUGGAAAUAUGGAGUUAUCAUUAACUGAGAUUGGGAAAGAUUACACAAGGAGCAGAUUUGGGGAGGGAGUGUUAGAAGUUUAUUUUGGAAUAUGUUGUUUGAAAUGACUAUUAGUAAUCUAAGUGGAGAGUUUGAAUAGACUAUUCAGUAGACAAUUCUGGAUUCAGGGCUGGAAAUAUAAAUCUGGAAAUCGUUAGCACAUAGACAAAAUGAAACUAGAUGCAUAAUCAAGGGACUGAAUGUAGAGAGAAAAGAGAAAUUGUCUAAGGACUGAGCCCAGAAGUAUGCCAAUAUUCCUCAGAGCAUCUGAGGAACAAAAGAGAUUGGGUAAGAUAAUAUAGGAAAGCCAGGAGAAUGUGGUGUUCUAGAAGCCAAGUGAGGAAAGCUGUACAAAGAUGUGGAAGCAAAUACCUGUGAAGAUUGCUGGGAGAUCAAAUAAGAUGAAAAUUGACAAUUGACUAUCAGGUUUAGCAUUAUCAAGGACAAUGCUAAUUGUGAUCUAUGCUAAUUAUAUUUUACUUACUUUAAUGUCUCAUUUAGAUAUUCAUCUGUUUUGGAAAGUCCUCUCUGACCCUGCAAAACUGAGUUAAGAACCCCUCAAAGUGCAACAUAUCACACCUGUAAUUUUACAGUCAUCCUAAGGUUUUGAAGUUGCCCUUUUACUUAUCCGUCUUCUCCUCUAAACUACAUAUGCCUCAAGGGCAAAGACUUGAGUGUGAUCACUAUUGUACCUUGCACAGUAACUGGCAAAGAGUAGGGAUGAUAUUUGCCAAAUAAAAUUUAAUUGCAUUGCUUCUCAUUUGUGCCAGAGAAGGCCAUCCCUGCCAGGUUAAAAAAAAAAAAAGAGGGUGGAUAACAGGGAGUAGCCAGAUCUAGUAAGUAUCAGUGACGCAUCCUUGGAUGACAAAGACUAAGGUUUUCACCUCAUUUGGUUAAAUUCCGAUGCAGAGAAGCUUGUUAUGACAAUCCAAAAUGAGUUUCUAAUGGAAUAUUUAGGUGUGCCGGUUACCUGGGGGCAAGAGAACAGCCCAAAGCCAGCUAAGCAAAUUAGUGAGCAGGUGCCAUUAGUCAGCCAUGCCCACCUCAAGGAUACCUUAUCAAUGGAUAGCUUGUAAUUUUCCUAAAGUUUUCAUAAAAGAGGGGUCAACAAAGGGAGUGAGAUGUGCAUAGUUCAACUCUAAGUUACUAACUGAAAAGUUGGCCAAGACUUCAUUGAAAUGAAAUGUUUUUGUUGGAAUCAAGUAUUACGAACUGGUUUCAUUAUUUCUAGAGAUUUAUAUAUUAUUUUUCAUAUUUGCUUUUCGUGUGGAAAUAUUCCUAAAAAUAGACUGUAGGACUGUUAUAAUAGUAAUUAAAUUAGCAAUUGCAUAAUGGUGUUAUUGAUAAUCAAAAGAUUAAAUAGUAAUUGUAGUAGGUCAUUUCGAUUUUAAAGAAAGUAAGUGGCAUACUCUAAUAAUGAAAACUAUUCUAACUCUAGGUUUUGUUUCCAGGUCUUAUAAAAGACUGGAAUUCUUCUUCAAGCAGAUGUUCAUCAACUACUUCUAAGAAUUUGUGCUUAUCAUGAUUAAACUAACUUUAAGAACAACAUUUAAGGAUAAUAAACAGGAACUGGAAGAAAAAGGAAUGCUUCUGAAGGGGAGCAGAAUUUGCCAACUGAAAAUCUGACUCUUUGGUUUACAGAUUAAUUUUAGGCUGAUUAUCUUUAGCAAGAGACAUAGGAAAGCUCUGAAAACUGAAAAGAAGUUUCCCUUUUGUAAAAGACAUCACGACAUGUAUAAGAGAUGUCUCUUUUUCUAAGGGUGUCUCCCUGAUGCACCAGACAGAGGGAUAACUCUUAAAUUGCUAGAAAUCCUUAUCAACAGAGGAGGCAAUGACAUGAAUCCACACAACAACCUUACCCUUUUUGACUGUGUUUCUCCUGGUAAGUUCUCAUAACAGCCUUCCUUUCUUACCCCCCAACAUCUUCUUUUGUCUUUAACUGGAGAUAUAAUUUAAAGUGGUGGAUUAGGCCAUUCCGGGAGCUGCUCAAUUUUCCAGAGUAACUCCCAUGUGUACAGGAGGCAUACGUGUUACUAAAUUUUUGUUUGUUUU